rnacentral:lncRNA from 1 species
UAGCGCGUCACAGAUUUAUUGAUGAUUUACAAAUAUGCAAAUAUAUUGGCUGGACAGUUGGUUCCUUAUUGAAAUUAUUACUCUUUAUUACAAUAACUAAUGCUGUAACACUUGGAUACUGACAAGUAUGAGGACCUAACAGAGAUUGAGGGACCAAAUUCACUCCUAUAUCAAUAUUUGUAUCAAAUCAAGCACAAUAUACACAUUUAAAAAAUAUACAUGCGAGUAAAAAAAAUAUCUUCCACAUAUUUACAAUGAAAGUUACUGCAAAAUACUGAUUAUCUGCCACAUAGAGCUGAGCAUAACAUUUAUACAUCGAUGUGACGAGAAUUUGUAGAUUCAGAUUGCAUAUCAACAACACCACUAUCAUUGGAGGAAAAACAUAUUCAACCAAUGAAAGACAGUGUACCAUCAACAGGAAUGACAUGCUUUGGAAGUAAUGACAGUAAUUGUGAAAUACUGUUUCUCAAAGAAAAUCAUGGAAAACAAAACAUCACAAGACAGUCACUGUAUAUAACAACCCAACUGAAAUUUGGACUCUAUCUCAGAAAUUACCUUCCCUAAUCCCUCUUGAAUUCUAAACAGCUUUAGCAUUGCGUGAUGCACAUGAACCAAAGCAAAGCAGUGUACCAGCAGUUCUCAGUUAUCUCAUGCAUAAAACAAUAGGCAGGGUUUCGUAAUUAGAGUCGGGAGUUUGUGAGCGAGAGAGACAGAGAGAGACAAAGAGAGAGACAGAGAGAGAAUGAGAGAGAGUGAAAGAGAGAGAGAGACAGAGAGAGAGAGAGAGAGAGAGAGAGAGAGGGACAGAGAGAGAGUGAAAGAGAGACAGAGAGAUAGAUCCACAUGCAGUCUGUGUACUACAACCAGAAGGGACAGAGCAGAGGAGAGGAGACACUAGCUAGUCUUUAGCAUAAACAUUUGUUGAGCCAUCAUAUCUAUCAUGGGACUGGGUUAGAGCCAUCAUAUCUAUCAUGGGACUGGGUUAGAGCCAUCAUAUCUAUCAUGGGACUGGGUUAAAGCCAUCAUAUCUAUCAUGGGACUGGG